rnacentral:lncRNA from 1 species
AUGGGCCCGCCGCGGGCGCGCGGCGCUCGCUGCGCACGAGCCCUGCCAACCGUCGCCACGAGCCCCCACCUGCAACCGCCAGCCGCACACGCUCAGCCUGCCCCCGCGAAGGACCCGGGUCAGGGCGCCCACACAGGGCCACUCGCACCCCGAGCCGCGGCCGCGGUCCCUGCCCUCCUCUGCACGAAGCGGGGCUCUGCCCCCACGGGCUACCGGGGAAAGGGGGACGGGGAAAAGGCGCUGGCCUUGGCCGAAGGGGCUGCUGCGGCCACGACGCUCGACGCGCCGUGGAAGGGUGGCGGGGGACAGUUACCUCCCGGCUGUGAGAAGCAGGAGGAGCCACGGCCGCUGCGGGGGGCUGAAGGGACCCAGCUCCGCAGUGCGCUGGGGAGGGAGGCUCCGCGCUCAGCGGCAAGGACUCAAGCGUCUGACGUCCGGCCAGCAGAACCGGCGGCGAGCCCCCACCUCUCGGCACUGAUCCCGCCUGAUUCUGCGCCGCCGCCGUCCCCGCCUGCGGUGCGAGCUGAGAGGUGGGGCCAGACGGGCAGGGCGCAGCCGGAGAGGUGUUCCGAGUCAGAGGGGAAGCGGCGGCGGAAACGGCCCCGGCGGCGGCGGCACAGAGCGCCCGCCCCUUCCCCCUCCGCCCCCCGCGCGCCGGCAGCACGCGCGGGCGGGGCACCUCGCCCGACUGCGGAGAGGGCGCACGCGGCCGUGGGCGUGGCUUAUCACGGCAGAAGAGGGGCAGGAUUGGGUGAAGGCGGGAAGAAGCGGGGCUUCGAUCCCAAACCAUGGGCCUGCCCCUCUCGCCGUCUGCGCGGAAGAUUGACAGGUUCGCCGACCACUCGGAAGACGGAAAGCGAACGCCAGACAGCGGGAGGGGGCGGGACCCGCUGGUGGGCAGGGGAAGUGGCCAAUAAGCGAGGCCCUGGGCGUGAGCGGCAUGAGGGAGUGACGGUCGGGCUGUGGUGCCGGCCGUUGGUGCUGUUCCCGCCCGUUGCCCCUUCAGCGCGGCUGGCGGUGGGCUCCCGGCUGCCUCUGCUUCGGCCCCCUCCCCGCCCUUGA